AUUGUGCUCUCUGAGGCUGGGGAGGUCGUAUGUGUUAUUAAGAUUUAUUAAACAAGAAACUUCGUAUAGAUACCGGUAGAGUACCUAUGUAACUGUAAAUUUUACCAGACGUCAUAUUCUCACGUCUCACCGUUGUAUCCGUUCAAAAUAGUAGUCGUCGACGAACAUAACUAUCACGCGAUUAAUACGAGUAGAACUACAUUAAUCACGUGAAAUUAUUGUACAUUGAAUUUCGCCCACUUACAUCUAAUACAACACUGUAGCGUGAUAAUAUACAUUUUAAAUUCGAUUCGAAGUAAACCCCUAUAGGGCUGUUCG